GGUUCCUUUGUGGGACUCAGCACCACCUGUGGACAACAGGGUGUGUUUAAGGUCCAGGGACUUUCUUCCCUCCCAGUGAACACAGAAAACAAUCAAACGUCAAAGUCUGUUUUCUCCCAGCUCAUGUGUGGGGUAGGGAUGGUGUCUCCGAUGACAGACACCCAAACCAACCAUUCCAGGUGCACGUCAAGCCCACAGCUCGAGCUCAGGAACCUCCAGAGGAAGCGAGGCUGGCCCAAGGGCAGGCGAGGGUGGUCGGCCCACAGGACCCCCGCCCGGAGCAGCAGCAGACACAAUCGCGCUACAGUUCAGUUUGCUCUAAGAGUGGAGUGUCAACCUUGGCCCAGGAGUCACCAAGAGAGGACGAUGCACAGGUCCCCACAAAAGCAAGACACACAGCACAGCCCGAGUCCAAACAAACACCAACAGGCAGAAGCAAGAUACACAGCGCGGGCCGAGACCAAACACCAACAGGCAGACGUGAACAUGUGAGGUCUUAAUUCAUCGUCACGAACGUUUGGAGGAGUUCAGCUCUGACUUCUUUGCCUUAGUUAUUUCCAAACUAGUGGAUGCCACUUCAGCGUGGUAAUGGAGCCAGGAUGAGUGGAGAGCACAUCACACGUCAGUUUCCCGCAGCCCCUGCACCGGUGCCCUUAGUUCACUCACAAUCGCAUAAACCUUUGUGAUUUUCCUGGCAAACAGGAAUGCUAAACCUCCUUUUCUUCCUAAGAUACUUGGUUUUCAAAGUUAAGCGAAGGCAAAGCUACAACACAAAACGUUGCUGUGCUAUGGACAAAUCCAAGGUGGCCGCGGCACAGAUGAACCUGGUGAGGUCACCGCGGUGCCACAGGCUGGGUGACUCCCACUGAAACAUCCUCACGGUCUGGAGGCUGGAAGUCUGGGGUGGGGGUGACAGCACGGUCAGCCCUGGUGAUGGCCUCCGCCUGGCUUCUCACCGCGUCCUCACAUGGAGGAGAGGGAGGACUCUUCCUCUUCUCACAAGAGCACUGGUCCCUUCACAGGAGCCCCACCCUCGCGGGCGAUCUAACCCAAUCACCUCCCAAAGGCCUCUCCUCCCUGCACCGUCCACUGGGGGUUCGGCCUCCUACACGCUGAGUUCAAUGAAACACAUUCAGUCCAUAACAGCUGCCUCAGUGAACGUCUUCCCACACACGAGGACACAUACACACACACUGGUGAAACACAACUGAGAUGCAUUCUCGCUUUUUUUAACCUUGUAGAUAUAAUAGAGAAAUGUGCACAAAAACACAUCAUAUAGCAAUAUUAAGUGAAUAUUCUUCCAAUCGGCACUCAAGAAAUAGUCCCGCCAGCAGCCAGAGCCCCCACCCCUGCUGCACCUUCGUGGGGAGCCACAGCCGACUUGAUGGAAGUUGUCCUCAUGGCCGCACCUGCCUCUGCACCAGAUUCACAGGCCUGUCGUCUUUUACACCUUACUUCUUUCACUCAGCUUCAUGUCUGUGAGAUGAUCCGAGUCGCCCCGUCAUGGUUAAUUCCAUUGUUCCACUGUAUGAAAAUAAAAAUCAUCUACUUCCUCUCCUCUGCCACCAAAGUGCGUGUGGGCCACGUCCAGCCUGGGGAGACUGUAAACAAUGCCACCUACGUGCUUCCUUGCGCGUCUCCCUGACCAGGCGUGCGUGUGCUUCUGCGGCAUGGAGGGCAAGGAGCGAAACCUCAGCCGCGGCAAACAUACCUCUCCACAUUCCAGCGCAACACUCACCCACCUGCCGUGCAAGGCCCCAAGGAGCUCAGAGCUUGUGUAUCACCGCCAGGAGCUUCCAGGGACUCCCGGCCCCACAUCGCAGCUGCGCCUGGAGUCGGUGCCUCCGGUUUUUGCCCGUCUAGCAGGAUCAUUGUGCGUUUGGUUCUUCACACCCAGGCUGAACAUUCAUCACGUAACUUCCAGGAGUCGGGCUGGUGAGUUAAAGUGACGUGAAUUUUAAUUUCCUUAAAUAGUGGGCUCUCUUCCUUAAAAAACUUAAUUCCCUCUCAAAAUUAUUAAACAGUCCCCCACGUUUUCUUCCAGUACUUGUAAAAUUCCAUUAUAUUUUUAAGUCUCUGCGCCAUCUGGAUUUUAUUUUGGGGUAAGGAGUUUGGGAGGGACCCAGCUAUAUGUUUUCCGAAUGUCUGGCCAGUUGUCCCCAAAUCAUUACUGAAUAAUACAUCUUUUCCCCACUGAUUUAAAAUGUCACCAUUAUCAUAUACCAAAUACCCAUGCGCAUUUGGGUCUAUUUCUAGGCUUUCUAUUCUUUCCCCUCAAUCUGCCCGUCUGUUCCCCACUCCGGCUUAAAUGUCCCAUCACUGCAAAGCACUGAGUGUGCAAGACUCCACUCCCCACACACAACUUCUCUUUUUCAUAACUCUUCUGUUUAGUCUCAUAUUUGUGUCUGAAACUGGACUUUAAAGCUAGCUUGCUUAAUUUCAAAAAAUUUGUUAAUAUUGUGUUGUGAUCAUUUACAUGUAUAGGUUCAUUCAGAGAGAAUUCAUAUCUUCACAGAAUUAAACUUUCCCAUCCAGAAGCACCGUCUCCCCUGCCCAAUGGGUCCUCCCCAUCUCCCAGUGGAGACCAUGGACCUGCCGGGUUCACCUUCGCCAGGCUCCUCAAGGCCUUCCUCCUUCUCCCUGGUUCACCCAGGAGCUCUGAGCACGCCACACACCUGCCCCUGCAACCUCGCCCCAGGCAGCCUCCUGCCGCCCCACAGACUUCCCCUCCCACUCACAGACUGUGGCAUCUCGGGGUGACCUUGGGCUGGAGAGCCAGGAUUCCAGCGGACACCUCUGGGCCUGGGGGGCUCGAUAAGACAGGUGGAGUGAAUGAGGUCAGGAGGGGAUGAGGAGGGAGACACGAAGGAAAGGAAGUGACCAGAACCUCUGGGAAACACAAGGAGAAACUGUGCAAGAAGAGAAAGUCCCCACACCACAGUUAGACGCGGCACGUCUGGGGCGGCUGCUGCAGGAUGAGGCAGGAGCAUCUCUUGGAACUGCACAAAGAACCUUCUCCUCCAGAGUCAGACCCGGUCUUACUCUGUUGCCCAGUGGCUCAGGGGCACUGAGGGACCCACUCGGCUCAUCUGCAAUCGACGCCGGCACAGCUGUGACACGGGGAGCACCCCCGAGGACCCGCCCGUCACUGCAGCUGCAGGGCUGGGCAUGAUGCUUUUAACUUGACAGUGUGAAAACAAAACGUGGGCUAACACAGCCUGGACGCAGGGAGUUGAAAGAGGAGAGGCCUCGCCCUGCAGUGCAGGGAGCAUCACGGGGGCUACACAGAGGAGGACUCAGUCCGUUCCCGACGAGACGGGAUGGAAGCCAAUGGAGAAGUGGCAGCCACGGCGGGACCUCAACGCAGGAGAGGCCACUGUACAGAGAAGGACUGAGUCAGCUCCUGAUGAGAUGGGAACCGUACGAAAAGUGGCAGCUGCUGCAGGACCUCAAGGCGGGAGAGGCUGCCGUUGCCCUGGGUGUGGGGGGUGGGCUCGGGAAGGAGGCGCAGGAUCUGUUACUUCUUAUUUUAAGCCCUAUAUUACUCAGCUUUUAAAUGAACCAUAGCUAUGCAUUACUUCCAUACUAAUUAAUUGAGGAAAAUGGAAAGCCUCAUGUCUCUUAAGUACUAAGCACUGAACUGACCUCUGUUGUGCACCAACCAGGCGCAGGGAACCGAUGGAGACACUUAGAAACUCAGCAAAGCAGACAAGGCUCCUCCCAUUAAACUCACAUUCUAGCCAGGGGACAGACAAGACACAACGCACACAAUCACCGAUGUCAGGAUUGGGGACGGUUGUUACUGAGGACAGACAAGACACAACACACAUGAUCACCAAUGUCAGGACUGGGGACGGUUGUUACUGAGGACAGACAAGACACAACGCACACAAUCACUGAUGUCAGGACUGGGGACGGUUGCUACUGAGGACAGACAAGACACAACGCACACAGUCAGCGAUGUCAGGAUUGGGGACGGUUGCUACCGAGGACAGACAAGACACAAAGCACACGAUCACUGAUGUCAGGAUUGGGGAUGGUUGCUACCGAGGACAGACAAGACACAACGCACACGAUCACUGAUGUCAGGAUUGGGGAUGGUUGCCACAGAUGAAGAAGAGACAAAGAGGGUGCAGGCUUGGGGGCAGGUUCCAUGACAGCAGAGUGGAGUGUGGAUCAUUGCAAUGACAAGGGAGCCUCUUCUGGCCACUCUUGACCUCGAACGUCCCCCCCAAGAGACUGCACACCGUCAAUGUGUUCAAAAACAGAGAUGACAGCUGCUGCAUGGAACAGACAUACACAGCCUCAGCGACCCCCCGGAGGCAUGUGUGCCCCUCGAAAUGUGUUGGUCAGGCUGCCUCCACACAGCCCACAGGCAGGGAGCAAACGCAUGCCCCACUUGCUUCACGAUGCCGAGCACAGAACCCACUUCAGGAAAACCCAAGAAAUGGCCCCCAUGGACCCCCAAUCCCACUACUUCCCGCCCCAAUUCUAAAAACAAAUGAACAAAAACACCACACCUCCAGGAAACAGCACAGGAAGCUUUUCACUUACGUUUUUAUUAUAGAAAUGUUCAAACAUACACGAAAGCAGAGAAGAUAACAGCACAGACGCCAUUGGCCAUGGCCCCCCAUCACUCUGCAGAGAAGAUAACGGCACAGAUGCCAUUGGCCAUGGCCCCCCAUCACUCUGCAGAGAAGAUAACAGCACAGACGCCAUUGGCCACGGUCCCCUGUCACUCUGCAGAGAAGAUAACAGCGCGGACGCCAUUGGCCAUGGCCCCCCAUCACUCUGCAGAGAAGAUAACAGCACAGGCAUCAUUGGCCACAGACCCCAUCGCUCUGCAGAGAAGAUAACGGCAUGGAUGCCAUUGGCCAUGGCCCCCCGUCGCUCUGCAGAGAAGAUAACAGCACAGACGCCAUUGGCCACGGCCACCCAUUGCUCUGCAGUGGCUCAUGUUUCAUUCCAUCCGUCUCCCCUGCCACUCCUCCUGUUUUCCAGGUUUGAGGGUGGGGUAAAUUAGAGAAAAUCUGCUAUGCCAUUUUCUAUGUAUCUCUAGCAAAUGAGGACUUAUUUCAUUUUAUUUUAUUUAGGGGAGAUAGGGUCUUACUCUGUUUCCCAGGCUGGGGUGCAGUGACACAAUCAUGGCUCACUGCAGCCUCUGCCUCUCCAUCUCCCACAGCACCGGGAUCACCACAGCUCAGCCCACACGAGAGCUUUCAAAGAUAUCAUCACUAACCCAGUAUCACACCGCAAAAUUAUUUAACAGCAACUGCUCUUUAAUAAUGUUCUAAUAUCCGGUCAGUGCUAAAUUCCAUUAAUUAGAAAAAAGUCAUCUUGUAGUUAAUGUGUUCAAACCAAUAUCCAAGUAGGGUCCGUACGUCUACAUGGCAAUGAUGCACACAGGUGGAUUCAGUGUGUGUGGUUUGCUAUGAACCCGAUGAGCCACCAAGAAUCCAGGCUGAGUCUUCUGACCCCUUUUCUGAUGCUUACUUCCUGGAAGCGUCCUUAUCUGCUUGCACAGUAUCCAUGCUCUCCAUUCCUCCGAACUCCACAGAACAUUCCCAGAAUCCUGGAUGAGAAGAAACCGUGUCCCUUCCGGGGCUCCUCAGCAUCUCGGGCACAAUGUCUCUGGACACUUCCAGCGGGCAGGUGUCCACCCUGGCCUCGAUAAGCAGACACCACUCGCCCUGAAAGCAAAGGUGCUGUAUCGGCCUGUGGGACCGUGGCGGACGCACGGCCCCAGUCAACACAGAGUGAAGGGCAUUAGCACCAAACCUCCCCUCCCCAGGGCGAGCCUGGCCUGUGAGGAAUUACAGUAAAACCACAAUCAAAACUCCUUCCAAGUUCAUCAUUCACACCCUGAAUGUUCUCAGUAGGGCCAAAACUUCACACCUCUGACUGAAUUUUCAUCUAUUUGGAAGUGUUCCAGGUCUCCUGGGAGUUUAAGAAAUUGGGAGUGUGAAGAUGUGGUUGAAAACUGAGGUGAAAGCUUUAAGGGAAAGGUAAUUUGGUGUCUCCUGGGCACUUCACAGCUCUGCAAUGCUCAGGGUUCCACUGUGCAUCCCUCAAUAUGAAAUAAAGCAAACCUUACUAAAUACCCUUCCAGCAAAAUCCCCCUGUCCUCCGA